GAUGAGCGCUGGCGGCGUGCCUAAUACAUGCAAGUCGAGCGAACAGACGAGGAGCUUGCUCCUCCGACGUUAGCGGCGGACGGGUGAGUAACACGUGGAUAACCUACCUAUAAGACUGGGAUAACUUCGGGAAACCGGAGCUAAUACCGGAUAACAUGUUGAACCGCAUGGUUCAACAGUGAAAGACGGUCUUGCUGUCACUUAUAGAUGGAUCCGCGCCGCAUUAGCUAGUUGGUAAGGUAACGGCUUACCAAGGCAACGAUGCGUAGCCGACCUGAGAGGGUGAUCGGCCACACUGGAACUGAGACACGGUCCAGACUCCUACGGGAGGCAGCAGUAGGGAAUCUUCCGCAAUGGGCGAAAGCCUGACGGAGCAACGCCGCGUGAGUGAAGAAGGUCUUCGGAUCGUAAAACUCUGUUAUUAGGGAAGAACAAAUGUGUAAGUAACUAUGCACGUCUUGACGGUACCUAAUCAGAAAGCCACGGCUAACUACGUG
rnacentral:rRNA from 1 species